CGGCAAUAGCCUAAAACUCAAAGGACUUGGCGGUGCUUUAUAUCCCCCUAGAGGAGCCUGUUCUAUAAUCGAUAAACCCCGAUAGACCUCACCAAUUCUUGCUAAUGCAGUCUAUAUACCGCCAUCUUCAGCGAACCCUAAAAAGGUACAAAAGUAAGCGCAAUCACAAUGCAUAAAAACGUUAGGUCAAGGUGUAACCUAUGAAAUGGGAAGAAAUGGGCUACAUUUUCUACACCAAGAA
rnacentral:rRNA from 1 species